GCACCGGUGGCUCAGUAGGUAACAGGGAUGGUUGGCAAGCAACAGACCGGGGUUCGACCCCCGCUGUGGCG